rnacentral:tRNA from 2 species
GGAAAAAUGGCUGAGUGGUCGAAAGCGACAGAUUGCUAAUCUGUUGUAUGAACUUUUCUCAUACCGAGGGUUCGAAUCCCUCUUUUUCCG